CCGACGGUGAGGGGUGAAAGCUGGGGGAGCAAACCGGAUUAGAUACCCGGGUAGUCCCAGCCGUAAACGAUGCUCGCUAGGUGCCUGGGAUGGUGCGACCGUUUCAGGUGCCGCAGGGAAGCCGUGAAGCGAGCCACCCGGGAAGUACGGCCGCAAGGCUGAAACUUAAAGGAAUUGGCGGGGGAGCACUACAACGGGUGGAGCCUGCGGUUUAAUUGGACUCAACGCCGGAAAACUCACCUGGGGC
rnacentral:rRNA from 1 species